ACUAGCCUAAGGUGUAGACAUUCUAUGCACUGUGGUUUAGCUAGCUAGCUGCUAUUGUUGCAUCAUGGACAACACUUAGAGCUAACAUUAGCUUUUUUAUUUUAGAUAGGAUGUAAUGUGGUAACGUUAUGUGCUGGAGAGUAUUAGAGUGGACGUGUAGAAAUUGAAGACAAGUACUGUGCUUAAUUUCAUGGAAAUGGUAUUGCAAGUAAUGUGUUUUGUUUUUGUGCACUAUCAAACUACUUUGUCAUGCUUUGUGCACUGACAUUCUUGCAAAACCAUUCACACCCAUGCUAAAUUAUGGAAAUUGUAUUGAAAAGGACCAUGUAUGGUCAUGUAGUGCAUUUGAGCACUGACACCCCUUUUUUUUACAUUUUAGAGAGGCAACACUCGAAAGCUACAUCAAGGACACCGGAGGAUGGACCAGAAGACCUGAGACCAAGACGACCCAAGCCCAACCCAUAGUAUGCUUCACUGACAAAUGUUGAUGCUUCAUCAUCACAUAGACCAAAGGUUUCAGAGAAGGCUGGUAGAGCUCUCUAAGAGUGUGAGCUGUGGGAGAUAACCAAGAACUGACAACCACCUACAGAAGAGGUGGCGAUAAUGGCUCUCCAAGAGGAGGUUGUGAGUCUGAAGGCUUUUAUUCAACAAGUGUUAGGCUGUCUGUGUGGACUGCUUCCCAUUUUCGCCUCACCCUGAGAGGACUAAGAUGAUAAUUGAGGCCACCCUGAAGCAGUUCCCAGGCCAGACACUCACUCCAGAUUGCUGGGCUAGGCAAUAAAUGCCAAAGUGAACGAACUGAGGUUCCAUAACAAAAACAAAGAUUUUCAAUAAAAUAGAAUAAAAGAUAACAGAAGUGUUGUGUGUUUCUUCCUCUUUAUACUGAUACUAUGGUUAAUUUUAAGUAAACACAAGUGAAAUAUUUAAUGAUCAAUGCGGAAAAUAUCAAACCAUAGUAGAAUAUGAACUAUAUUAGAUAAAUAUAUGUCUGAAAUAUAUAGAUCAUGUGAUCAGAAUCUUCA